ACAAAUCGUUAGUAGUUGGUAACCCAUUCCACCAAAUUGUUUACGAUGUAAUAAGUGAGGAAACAGAUUUUGUUUCCUUCCUCUAACACAAAAAAUAAAGAAAACACUUCUUUCUUCUCUUCUUUCGUUCGAAAAUUUUCAAAGAAAUUCCUAAACUUGUUCGACAAUUCUACAAAGAAAGUUGCGAUUCUUCAGAUUUUGCUACAAAAUUUUCAAUUGUCUACUUCAAAUCUUCAAAAAUCAUCACAGGUAAAGGGUACGGUGGUGAAUAGGCAAGCUAAUCUCAGAUGGAAGAACCCAAUAACUGAAUCUUUCAAGAUUAAUACUGAUGGUUCGUUGGCUUACUGGCAAGGCGUGGAGAAUUAAAGCUAGGAUUCCUGCCGAAGUGGAGCUCAUAGCAAUCAGAAACGACAUGAAAAUGGCGAUAAAAGGAAGUUAUGAUGGUGAAGAAUCAAAAGGGUAAAGGGAGGAUAUUUUGUAGAAAGGCUUGUGUUUGAUAUGACUUCUUGUGUUGUGAUUUUGUGUUGUGUUAAUGUUUUUGAUUGAAUGAAUAGUUGUAGAUAGAGCUUGAAAGAUUUAUGUGGAAACUUCCACAUAUGUAGAUCUUUUUAAACAACAACACCGUACCACCACUACCAUCGUCGUACCGACAUCAUCAACAACAAUUUUCGCCCUUUCGCU